CACGGGGGGCCCUACGGGGCGCAGCAGGCGCGAAAUCUUUACAAUGCGGGAAACCGCGAUAAGGGGACACCGAGUGCCAGCAUUUAUGUUGGCUGUCCACAUGUGUAAACGGCAUGUGUUAGCAAGGGCCGGGCAAGACCGGUGCCAGCCGCCGCGGUAACACCGGCGGCCCGAGUGGUAAUCACUUUUAUUGGGUCUAAAGGGUCCGUAGCCGGUUUGAUCAGUUCUUCGGGAAAUCUGACAGCUCAACUGUUAGGCUUCCGGGGAAUACUGUCAGACUG
rnacentral:rRNA from 1 species